GGAAUAUUGGACAAUGGGGGAAACCCUGAUCCAGCAAUCCCGCGUGAGUGACGAAGGCCUUCGGGUCGUAAAGCUCUUUCAGCAGGGAAGAAGGGAAACUUGACGGUACCUGCAGAAGAAGCACCGGCUAACUACGUGCCAGCAGCCGCGGUAAUACGUAGGGUGCAAGCGUUGUUCGGAAUCAUUGGGCGUAAAGCGCGUGUAGGCGGCAAGCUAAGUCUGGUGUGAAAGCCCGGGACUUAACACCGGAAGUGCACUGGAGACUGGCUAGCUAGAGGACGAGAGAGGAUGGUGGAAUUCCUGGUGUAGGGGUGAAAUCCGUAGAUAUCAGGAGGAACAUCGGUGGCGAAGGCGGCCAUCUGGCCCGUUUCUGACGCUGAGACGCGAAAGCGUGGGGAGCAAAC
rnacentral:rRNA from 1 species